rnacentral:rRNA from 1 species
CAGUAGCCGCGGUAAUACGUAGGGCGCGAGCGUUGUCCGGAAUUAUUGGGCGUAAAGAGCUUGUAGGCGGUUGGUCGCGUCUGCUGUGAAAGGCUGGGGCUUAACCCUGGUUUUGCAGUGGGUACGGGCUAACUAGAGUGCAGUAGGGGAGACUGGAAUUCCUGGUGUAGCGGUGGAAUGCGCAGAUAUCAGGAGGAACACCGAUGGCGAAGGCAGGUCUCUGGGCUGUAACUGACGCUGAGAAGCGAAAGCGUGGGGAGCAAACAGGAUUAGAUACCCCCGUAGUCCCUGUCUCUUAUAC